AAUCAACGCUGGCGGCGUGCCUCAGACAUGCAAGUCGAACGAUUAAAGCUCCCUUCGGGGAGUGCAUAGAGUGGCGCACGGGUGAGUAACACGUAAGUAAUCUACCUUUGAGUGGGGAAUAACGUUCGGAACGGACGCUAAUACCGCAUAAUGCAGCGGCAUCGCAAGAUGACAGUUGUUAAAGGAGCAAUCCGCUUAAAGAGGAGCUUGCGGCAGACUAGCUUGUUGGUAAGGUAACGGCUUACCAAGGCUACGAUCUGUAUCCGGUCUAAGAGGACGGUCGGACACACUGACACUGAAUAACGGGUCAGACUCCUACGGGAGGCAGCAGUCGGGAAUUUUGGGCAAUGGGCGAAAGCCUGACCCAGCAACGCCGCGUGAAGG
rnacentral:rRNA from 1 species